UGGAAUGAGUAGCGAGAUUUAAGUGAGAAUCUUAAAGGCCGAAUAUCUAAGGUUUCCAGGGUAAAGCUGAUCUUCCCUGGGUAAGUCGGGGCCUAAGGCGAGGGCGAGAGCCGUAGUCGAUGGAUAACAGGUUGAAAUUCCUGUACUGCUUAUGGACAGAACUGUGGGGACGCAGAAGGAGAGCACGAGCCGGAAAUGGAAAAGCCGGUACAAGCGUAUAGCAGUCAUGCAGGCAAAACCGCAUGAAAAAUGUAAAGCGUUAUGUGGAUCGAACAUUAGUAGAGAAGCGUGUGAGCCAGCUGCCAAGAAAAGCCGCUAUUGCUUCAUAAGUACCCGUACCGUAAACCGACACAGGUGGAUGAGGAGAGAAUCCUAAGGCCGGCGGGAGAAGUGUUGUUAAGGAACUCGGCAAAAUGACUCCGUAACUUCGGGAGAAGGAGUGCCACAGAGAUGUGGCCGCAGAGAAAUGGCCCAAGCAACUGUUUAGCAAAAACACAGGUCUAUGCAAAACCGAAAGGUGAGGUAUAUGGGCUGACGCCUGCCCGGUGCUGGAAGGUUAAGAGGAGAGGUUAGAGCAAUCGAAGCUUUGAAUUUAAGCCCCAGUAAACGGCGGCCGUAACAAUAACGGUCCUAAGGUAGCGAAAUUCCUUGUCGGGUAAGUUCCGACCCGCACGAAAGGCGUAAUGAUUUGGGCACUGCCUCAACAACACACCCGGUGAAAUUGAAAUACCAGUGAAGAUGCUGGUUACCUGCGCCAGGACGGAAAGACCCCAUGGAGCUUUACUCCAGUUUGAUACUGGGAUUCGGUACUGUCUGUACAGGAUAGGUGGGAGGCUAGGAAAUGGUGACGCCAGUUGCCAUGGAGCCAACCUUGGGAUACCACCCUUACAGUACUGGGUUUCUAACCUGCAGCCGUGACCCGGCUGAGGGACAAUGUCUGACGGGGAGUUUGACUGGGGCGGUCGCCUCCGAAAGAGUAUCGGAGGCGCUCAAAGGUUCCCUCAGAACGGUUGGAAACCGUUCGAAGAGUGCAAAGGCAGAAGGGAGCUUGACUGCGACACCGACGGGUGGAGCAGAUACGAAAGUAGGACUUAGUGAUCCGGUGGUAUAAAGUGGGAUUGCCAUCGCUCAACGGAUAAAAGCUACCCUGGGAUAACAGGCUUAUCACUCCCAAGAGUUCACAUCGACGGAGUGGUUUGGCACCUCGAUGUCGGCUCAUCGCAUCCUGGAGCUGUAGCAGGUUCCAAGGGUUGGGCUGUUCGCCCAUUAAAGCGGUACGCGAGCUGGGUUCAGAACGUCGUGAGACAGUUCGGUCCCUAUCCGGCGUGGGCGUAGGAUAUUUGAGAGGAGCUGUCCUUAGUACGAGAGGACCGGGAUGGACAAGCCUCUGGUGUAUCUGUUGUUUUACCAAAGGCAUGGCAGAGUAGCCAAGUUUGGCAGGGAUAAACGCUGAAGGCAUCUAAGCGUGAAGCCCCCCUCAAGAUAAGAUAUCCCAUCUUCGGAGUAAGACCCCUUGAAGACUACAAGGUUGAUAGGCUUCAGGUGUAAGUGUGGUAACGCACUCAGCUGAGAAGUACUAAUAGGUCGAGGACUU
rnacentral:rRNA from 1 species